GGCAGUGUUUGUCUAGUGGAUAAGGCACUGGACUGGCACUCUGGAGAUCCAGGAUCUAUACCUGGCUCUUCCC
rnacentral:tRNA from 1 species